GCAGUCAGUGCCACAAAAUCCACUGUCUUACAUGUUCAGUACAUUGGGUAGUUCUACUACUCGACCAUCUCCAUCUAUUCAGAGUCGUCCUGGUAAUUUUCUCCAUAGACUCAACGAUAAUAGUUCUUCUCCUUCUAAUGACAACAAAUCGGAAAAUAAUUUCACCUUCUAAUUAAUUAAAGAGAAAUUGACUCUGUCAUUCUGU
rnacentral:misc_RNA from 1 species